GGGUUGUGAGGUUAAGCGACUAAGCGUACACGGUGGAUGCCCUGGCAGUCAGAGGCGAUGAAGGACGUGCUAAUCUGCGAUAAGCGCCGGUAAGGUGAUAUGAACCGUUAUAACCGGCGAUUUCCGAAUGGGGAAACCCAGUGUGACUCGUCACACUAUCAUUAACUGAAUCCAUAGGUUAAUGAGGCGAACCGGGGGAACUGAAACAUCUAAGUACCCCGAGGAAAAGAAAUCAACCGAGAUUCCCCCAGUAGCGGCGAGCGAACGGGGAGGAGCCCAGAGCCUGAAUCAGCAUGUGUGUUAGUGGAAGCGUCUGGAAAGGCGCGCGAUACAGGGUGACAGCCCCGUACACAAAAGCGCAUGUGCUGUGAGCUCGAUGAGUAGGGCGGGACACGUGGUAUCCUGUCUGAAUAUGGGGGGACCAUCCUCCAAGGCUAAAUACUCCUGACUGACCGAUAGUGAACCAGUACCGUGAGGGAAAGGCGAAAAGAACCCCGGCGAGGGGAGUGAAAAAGAACCUGAAACCGUGUACGUACAAACAGUGGGAGCACCCUUCGGGGUGUGACUGCGUACCUUUUGUAUAAUGGGUCAGCGACUUAUAUUCUGUAGCAAGGUUAACCGAAUAGGGGAGCCGGAGGGAAACCGAGUCUUAAUUGGGCGUUAAGUUGCAGGGUAUAGACCCGAAACCCGGUGAUCUAGCCAUGGGCAGGUUGAAGGUUGGGUAACACUAACUGGAGGACCGAACCGACUAAUGUUGAAAAAUUAGCGGAUGACCUGUGGCUGGGGGUGAAAGGCCAAUCAAACCGGGAGAUAGCUGGUUCUCCCCGAAAGCUAUUUAGGUAGCGCCUCGUGAAUUCAUCUCCGGGGGUAGAGCACUGUUUCGGCUAGGGGGCCAUCCCGGCUUACCAACCCGAUGCAAACUGCGAAUACCGGAGAAUGUUAUCACGGGAGACACACGGCGGGUGCUAACGUCCGUCGUGAAGAGGGAAACAACCCAGACCGCCAGCUAAGGUCCCAAAGUCAUGGUUAAGUGGGAAACGAUGUGGGAAGGCCCAGACAGCCAGGAUGUUGGCUUAGAAGCAGCCAUCAUUUAAAGAAAGCGUAAUAGCUCACUGGUCGAGUCGGCCUGCGCGGAAGAUGUAACGGGGCUAAACCAUGCACCGAAGCUGCGGCAGCGACACUGUGUGUUGUUGGGUAGGGGAGCGUUCUGUAAGCCUGCGAAGGUGGCCUGUGAGGGUUGCUGGAGGUAUCAGAAGUGCGAAUGCUGACAUAAGUAACGAUAAAGCGGGUGAAAAGCCCGCUCGCCGGAAGACCAAGGGUUCCUGUCCAACGUUAAUCGGGGCAGGGUGAGUCGACCCCUAAGGCGAGGCCGAAAGGCGUAGUCGAUGGGAAACGGGUUAAUAUUCCCGUACUUGGUGUUACUGCGAAGGGGGGACGGAGAAGGCUAUGUUGGCCGGGCGACGGUUGUCCCGGUUUAAGCGUGUAGGUGUGUGUUCCAGGUAAAUCCGGUUCACUUUAACACUGAGGCGUGACGACGAGGCACUACGGUGCUGAAGCAACAAAUGCCCUGCUUCCAGGAAAAGCCUCUAAGCAUCAGGUAACAUCAAAUCGUACCCCAAACCGACACAGGUGGUCAGGUAGAGAAUACCAAGGCGCUUGAGAGAACUCGGGUGAAGGAACUAGGCAAAAUGGUGCCGUAACUUCGGGAGAAGGCACGCUGACAUGUAGGUGAAGUGAUUUACUCAUGGAGCUGAAGUCAGUCGAAGAUACCAGCUGGCUGCAACUGUUUAUUAAAAACACAGCACUGUGCAAACACGAAAGUGGACGUAUACGGUGUGACGCCUGCCCGGUGCCGGAAGGUUAAUUGAUGGGGUCAGCGCAAGCGAAGCUCCUGAUCGAAGCCCCGGUAAACGGCGGCCGUAACUAUAACGGUCCUAAGGUAGCGAAAUUCCUUGUCGGGUAAGUUCCGACCUGCACGAAUGGCGUAAUGAUGGCCAGGCUGUCUCCACCCGAGACUCAGUGAAAUUGAACUCGCUGUGAAGAUGCAGUGUACCCGCGGCAAGACGGAAAGACCCCGUGAACCUUUACUAUAGCUUGACACUGAACAUUGAGCCUUGAUGUGUAGGAUAGGUGGGAGGCUUUGAAGCGUGGACGCCAGUCUGCAUGGAGCCGACCUUGAAAUACCACCCUUUAAUGUUUGAUGUUCUAACGUGGACCCGUAAUCCGGGUUGCGGACAGUGUCUGGUGGGUAGUUUGACUGGGGCGGUCUCCUCCUAAAGAGUAACGGAGGAGCACGAAGGUUGGCUAAUCCUGGUCGGACAUCAGGAGGUUAGUGCAAUGGCAUAAGCCAGCUUGACUGCGAGCGUGACGGCGCGAGCAGGUGCGAAAGCAGGUCAUAGUGAUCCGGUGGUUCUGAAUGGAAGGGCCAUCGCUCAACGGAUAAAAGGUACUCCGGGGAUAACAGGCUGAUACCGCCCAAGAGUUCAUAUCGACGGCGGUGUUUGGCACCUCGAUGUCGGCUCAUCACAUCCUGGGGCUGAAGUAGGUCCCAAGGGUAUGGCUGUUCGCCAUUUAAAGUGGUACGCGAGCUGGGUUUAGAACGUCGUGAGACAGUUCGGUCCCUAUCUGCCGUGGGCGCUGGAGAACUGAGGGGGGCUGCUCCUAGUACGAGAGGACCGGAGUGGACGCAUCACUGGUGUUCGGGUUGUCAUGCCAAUGGCACUGCCCGGUAGCUAAAUGCGGAAGAGAUAAGUGCUGAAAGCAUCUAAGCACGAAACUUGCCCCGAGAUGAGUUCUCCCUGAGACUUAGAGUCUCCUGAAGGAACGUUGAAGACGACGACGUUGAUAGGCCGGGUGUGUAAGCGCAGCGAUGCGUUGAGCUAACCGGUACUAAUGAACCGUGAGGCUUAACCUUACAACGCCGAAG
rnacentral:rRNA from 3 species